GCACAUAGUCAGGUUAAGAGUCGAUAACGAGAGUUGUCCCUUCACCAGCUGGAUAAGUUCUUCAGCCUUCACAGAAGCGUUGUUAUCCAGUUGUUAUUACCAACUUGAUAUCUCUGGUCAAAGAAGCAAAUCUUAAGGUCUUAUAACUGGCAUAUGAAACUUAAUUGACAAUCUUCCUGGUCUUGGUUGAGUUGGUGAUAUUAAAUGGUGUCAUUUUCUUGACAUGGAGGUAACCAAUUUUCAAUUGCAGACAAAUUUCAAUUCAAGAAAGCUCAAACAAUUUUUCCUUCAAAUAAGUACGAAAAGCAAAGUCUAAAAGGGAUUAGAAUGGGAGAAAUUAUGGACAAGGAAUAGUGAUUUGAUGUCAACAGGAAACAGAUAUUCCCUUUGCGCAAUGCAAAGCUCAUCAUG
rnacentral:misc_RNA from 1 species